rnacentral:rRNA from 1 species
UGCCAGCAGCCGCGGUAAUACGUAGGCAGCAAGCGUUGUUCGGAAUUACUGGGCGUAAAGAGUGUGUAGGCGGUUCUCUAAGUUCGGUGUGAAAUCUCCUGGCUUAACCGGGAGGGUGCGCCGAAAACUGGAGGGCUUGAGUAUGGGAGAGGAAAGCGGAAUUCCUGGUGUAGCGGUGAAAUGCGUAGAUAUCAGGAGGAACACCUGCGGUGUAGACAGCUUUCUGGACCAUCACUGACGCUGAGACACGAAAGCGUGGGUAGCAAACAGGAUUAGAUACCCUGGUAGUCCACGCCCUAAACGAUGCAUACUUGGUGUGAGCCGUUCAUUCGGUUCGUGCCGGAGCUAACGCGUUAAGUAUGCCGCCUGGGGAGUACGGUCGCAAGGCUAAACUCAAAGAAUGACGG